GGCAGAGAGACAGCAUUAAUGUAAACCUUAGACUGUUUCCAAUUGCAUGUAGACUAGACUUCUACAGCAAGGCACGAUGAAGCAACUUUAACUCAUUUUUUUAUCCCUUUGUCAUCAGACAUGCAGGUUCCCACCAUUGAGAAGUCCCACAGUAGUCCUGGGAGCUCAAAAUCAUCAUCUGAAGGCCAUCUCCGAUCUCACGGACCAUCUCGCAGUCAAAGCAAAACCAGUGUCGCCCAGACCCACCUGGAAGAUGCAGGGGUGGCCAUAGCCGCAGCUGAAGCCGCUGUGCAACAACUCCGCAUUCAACCAAGUAAAAGACGCAAA
rnacentral:lncRNA from 1 species